rnacentral:rRNA from 1 species
UUAGGAAUCUUCCGCAAUGGGCGAAAGCCUGACGGAGCGACGCCGCGUGGAGGACGAAGCCCUUUCCGGGUGUAAACUCCUGUUGUGAGGGACGAAAUUUUUGACGGUACCUCACGAGAAAGCACCGGCUAAUUCUGUGCCAGCAGCCGCGGUAAGACAGAAGGUGCAAGCGUUACUCGGAAUUACUGGGCGUAAAGCGUCUGUAGGUGUCUUGUCACGUCUGAGGACAAAUCGCAGGGCUCAACCCUGCGCACUCCUUGGAUACGAGCAAGAUCGAGUCACUCAGAGGCAUCUGGAAUGUCGUGUGUAGGGGUAAAAUCCGUAGAUACACGAUGGAACGCCAAAAGCGAAAGCAGGAUGCUAGGGGUGUACUGACACUCAGAGACGAAAGCGUGGGGAGCAAAGGGG